UUAUCUUUUUUUAACAUUGUCUGUCGUGUUUUAGGAGUCACUUUAGAAUACAAACCAAAAGACGGGCAAUGCCAAGCCGUCUGCUGUGGAGCAGGUGGAGCAUUAACUGUAGAAAGGAAGUGCACUCCGACAGACAAGUGUGAAGGAAUUGAACCUGACGAAAAAAAGGAGGAUGGACAUUGCCCGGGAGAAUCUAAAGGAACUUGCCCGAAUACAUGCGACGACGAAGGAUCUGGAGGUAUCCACAACUCACCAAGCUAUGCUUUAGCUACUCUGCUGGCGAUCACAUCGUUCACAAAAACGAUAUUCCGCUUUUAAAGGACCAAGUAUGGAAACAUACUAUAGCCUUGCAAAAGAACAGUUGAAACGCAUGAUUGAUCACAUGGAACGAAUACGUCUUACAACAGCAGUCGCCAAAGGUGUACCCGGUUUUGGGCAACACUCCUUAAUUCUGGAUUCAUUUCGAAAAGGGGAGAUAUUAGUAAGGGUGAUAGAGUAGAAGAACGUUAGCAAGUUAUCUUUAAAACAUCGUCUUUUAGUCAAAGCACACCAGGGAUUGCCGGUUGAUUGAUCUUCAACUAAGGUCAAAAUACUAACCGCUUUAGAGUGUACAGUCAUGUAUUCUGUACGGCAAGUAACGCGUGUUAUAUCUAGUUAGCACACUAGAAGUAUUAACUUGUUAUUAAAAGAUGAUUAAAAUGUAAAUUAGAGCAGGCAAUUUUAUAUCUAAGUAACCAAAAGUGUGUCAGAUUAAAAUGUAGAUUAGUUCAGUUAAGUUUAUAUCUGAGUAAAUAAAACUUGGUGUGUGAGAUUUAAAUGUAGAUUAGAGCAGUUAAUUUUAUAUCUGAGUAUCCAUAAAUGUGCAAAUCUAUGCAUUGCAAAUUCAUUCCUGAAGCAAGAUGGGGUCGACAUGCGUGAUGAGUAAUGAAGGCGAACGGAUUUUGUCAGUUUAGAAGAUGAUUAACUAACACCUGACAAAAUCUUGUGAUAAACUCAGUAGUUUUGCUGAGUGUCAACUGGGACACUGCCACGUUUUGUAAUGUAAGAGUUUCCCACUCAAGCCUGCGACGAAAUUAUUUCAAGAAACGUUGACGCAUAAAAGGGUUAAGCCUACGCUAGUAUAAAGAAAAUUAGUUGUUUUUAUUAUUUCCUUAUGUCGAAUGUUACUCAGCCCAUAAAAGAUUUUUUGGUACGUUACAGUGUAUAGAUUUUUUGGACAAUUUUCCGCUGAUACUUGAUGUAGGCUCAAGUUGUUUAUCUGACGUUUCUUUUUGCUUUUUCAUAUAGCUGUUCGCUAUUUUAGUUUCUCCAUCAGGAUGAAGAAAUAUCAUUAAUUGUUCCACACUUACUUAGAGAACGUAUCUCAUUUCAGUACUCGAUGUAAACAGGUAAAUUUGUACUCGGAUAUUGCAUUAGUCUACAUGUAUCGUCCACUGAACAUUUUGUAAAACAUUAAAAGCUCAGAUAUCCAUUUAAUAAAAGAGUGUGUACAAGUGAAUACAUGAA